UAAUUAGUUUUUUAAUUGAAGGCUUGUAUGAAUGGUUGGACAAAGAAGAGUCUGUUUUUAUUUUUAUUUUUGAAUUUAACAUUUAAGUGAAAAGGCUUAAAUAUUUUUAAGGGACGAUAAGACCCUAUAAAUCUUUAUAUUAUAUCAAAUUUUUAUUAAUUAAUAAGUAUAUAAAAUAAAAAAGUGGUGUAUAUUGUGUUGGGGUGAUAAGAAUAUAAUAAUUAACUGUUCUAGUAUAAAAACAAAAUUAUCUGACAAUAAUUAAUAGAUCCUUUUUUAAGAUUAAAAGUUUAAGUUACUUUAGGGAUAACAGCGUUAUUUUUUUUAAGAGUUCUUAUCGAAAAAAAAGUUUGCGACCUCGAUGUUGAAUUAAAAAUUUCUUUAUGGUGUAGCUGCUAUAAUAUGAAAGUCUGUUCGACUUUU
rnacentral:rRNA from 1 species